rnacentral:rRNA from 1 species
GAUGAACGCUGGCGGCGUGCCUAAUACAUGCAAGUCGAGCGAACGGACGAUAAGCUUUCUUCUCUGAUGUUAGCGGCGGACGGGUGAGUAACACGUGGAUAACCUUCCUAUAAGACUGGGAUAACUUCGUGAAACCGGAGCUAAUACCGGAUAAUAUUUUGAACCGCAUGGUUCAAAAGUUAAAGACGGUCUUCCUGUCACUUAUAGAUGGAGCCGCGCUGGAUUAGCUAGUUGGUAAGGUAACGGCUUACCAAGGCAACGAUGCAUAGCCGACCUGAGAGGGUGAUCGGCCACACUGGAACUGAGACACGGUCCAGACUCCUACGGGAGGCAGCAGUAGGGAAUCUUCCGCAAUGGGCGCAAGCCUGACGGAGCAACGCCGCGUGAGUGAUGAAGGUCUUCGGAUCGUAAAACUCUGUUAUUAGGGAAGAAAAUAUGUGUAAGUAAAUGUGCACAUCUUGACGGUACCUAAUGAGAAAGCCACGGCUAACUACGUG